AGCAGCCGCGGUAAUUCCAGCUCCAAUAGCGUAUAUUAAAGUUGUUGCAGUUAAAAAGCUCGUAGUUGAAUUUCGGGAUCAGUACGCCGGUCGUGCCUUCGGUAUGUACUGACGUUACUGAUUUCUACCUUCUGACGAACCGUCAUGCCAUUAAUUUGGUGUGGCGGGGAAUCAGGACUGUUACUUUGAAAAAUUAGAGUGUUUAAAGCAGGCUCGCGCUUGAAUACAUUAGCAUGGAAUAAUGAAAUAGGACGUUUGAUUUUAUUUUGUUGGUUUCUAGGAUCGACGUAAUGAUUAAUAGGGAUAGUUGGGGGCAUUAGUAUUCAAUUGUCAGAGGUGAAAUUCUUGGAUUUAUUGAAGACUAACUACUGCGAAAGCAUUUGCCAAGGAUGUUUUCAUUAAUCAAGAACGAAAGUUAGGGGAUCGAAGACGAUCAGAUACCGUCGUAGU
rnacentral:rRNA from 1 species